GCAAAGGCGCGCUAUUUCAAACAUGGAAACAGGGGUGCAUGCCCUUGCUACGUGGCUGUACUACUCUUGAAGGCCGCUAUUUUAAGCUUCGCAGAAAGAAUUAUCGAGAAAUAGUUUUUUUUUGCGAAACAAGAUAACAACGACAGCAGCUUGCGCCUGGUUGUAACUGGUCUGCCAGUUUGCAGCCGAUGUUUUUGAGAUGUAAUAAAACGUGAUUGUUAUUGGAGAUAGAGAUCUGCCUGCUAACGGCAUCUAGGGCGUUGCAUAUUUUGGCAGGUUAGUGUCUCCAGUAAACGUUGUAUACUGUAGUGGUAAGGCAUUGUCGCACGAUUUUUGCAAAACCUUACUACAGUAGUUGGAAGUUAAUUUUCAGCUCUGGUUUACAAAAAAAGAAAGCGUAAGAACAAGCAACACUACCUGCAUGAAACUGGUUGCGCGUAAAUAGCGCUCGAGAUUCAGGGCGCCACGCAACGCAUGUGUCAAACAGCAUUUUAUUCCAGUUUCCUUCAAUAAUACCCAAUUUUGCAUGAACCAAAUACGGUACUAUCGCUAGGCGCUCUUCAACACUUCCGUGCGCAGUUGUUUCUGGUUUCUUCUUUCUCUAAGAGAGGGCGUUAUAUGGCAAAACGCUACGCGUCUGUAAAUUUUUUGCAAUCAUUGGUGUAACGGCGAUCACUCGGCGUGUGGCACGGGCGGAUAAUCAUGGGCAGCAAAAAGCACAAGAAACACCAUAAGUCUGAAAAGAAAGAAGCCAAAGAUGAAGACCGCCAAGAAAAGUCUCUCAAGCUGGUUCUCAAGGUUGGCGGGAGCACAGGUGGGUUGCAGACGCCUGUGCCAUCGCCAUCUGCUGUAGCCUCUCCACACAGCGUGCCUCCAGCCCAGCAACAGCAUGAACCGAUGGCAGCAGCAGCUGCACCAGCAGCAUUUCGUGUAGAGGCCCCUGGCAUGGUUUGUCAUGCUCAUGAGGGAAGCAGCAGCAGUAAGCACAAAAAGUCCAAGAAGAAGAAAAAGAAGAAGUCCAGCAGCAAAGAACAUAGGGAAAAGAGGCACAGGCACCACCAUCACCAUCAUCAUCGCCAUCACCACCACCACCAUAAGGAUUCUGAAAAGAAGGAGAAGCGGAAGUGUGAGCACGAAUGUUCCUUGGGCAGUGAGGAGCGCCCUCCAGCAGCUAAUGCAGUGGAACCACCACCAGCCAAGCGCCCCCGUCAGGAGUUAGUGCCAGCAGCGCCUGAGCCUUCACAGCCACCUUCUGAACGCCCAGUUAGAGAUCCUCGCUCGUGUACAUUAAAGAAGUCUGAUAAGAGUCCCCUGCAGAUGCUGCUGUACUACCUUCUAAAGAACCUUCAGAAGAGAGACCCUCAAGAAUUCUUUGCUUGGCCUGUGAAUGAUAUAAUUGCACCGGGCUACUCAACAAUCAUACACAAUCCUAUGGAUUUUAGUACCAUGAGAAAAAAGAUAGAUGACAGUGAAUAUGCCUGUGUCAGCGAGUUCAGGGAGGACCUGAAGUUAAUGUGUGAUAAUGCAAUGACCUACAACCGGCCUGACACUGUUUACUUCAAGUCUGCAAAGCGUAUGUGGUACUCUGGAAACAAGCUCCUUUCCAAGGAUCAGCUUUUGGCAUUGGAGAGUUCCCUUCCAUUCUUUGCUGACUUGACAUCUGAAGAGCUGGGGUUUGAUGUCAAUGGGACUGCCGCUGCCCCUGAUGUCAAACCACCUACUGAUGUUGCUGAUGCUCCAGUGCCCGUAGAGGCUGCACCACUUGGAAGUCCAGAAUUUGCCAAAAAGAGCAAGAGUGGAUCAAGUGAAGAGGCAGCAUCAGAUGACCAGGCGGCAAGUGAAAUCCUGCUUCAAGCGCAAAAAGCGGCACGGGCCGCAGCUGACAGGUUGACAUUGAAAAAAGUGAAUAGCAAGUUUGGCUUUUUACGUCAGAUGGAAGAUGGAAGCACUACAUUAUCAAUAUUAAACCCAGACUGCGGAAGUACAAAUGGAUCAAAAGAAAUGAAGGUCAACUUAGAAAUGCUAGUUGGAAAGCUUGCUCAUGGAACUGGAACCCUCAUGGAUUUCAAGGAUGACAUCAAAAACAUUGCACGACCAAUCAAUUAUCUCAACUAUGGGACCUACAGCACUUAUGCACCUCACUAUGAUUCUACAUUUGCAAAUCUCUCAAAGGAAGAGUCUGACCUUGUGUACUCAACAUAUGGCGAUGAGCUUGGGGUCCAGUAUGCUGAGAGUCUGCUCAGCUUUGCCAAGGAUUGUGAUUAUGUCAUGGACAUGGUUGACAACCUUCUGGAUGUAUUGACAUCUGGCGAGCACUCAAAGACUGUAAAACUUCUGGAAGCUCAUCGCAAUGGCAUAGUGCCAGAGGAAAAGGACCUUGUAUCCUUCACAAAUCACACUGAAGUAGAAGAAAUGGAAGUGGAAUCGUCAGAACCAAAGCAUAGUGAUUUCAGGCCACCCGACUCCUUCUAUGCACUUAACGAUCUCACAGCUGAUUCAACCGUACUGGACAGUAAUCAUACAAGCCAAGCACCAGUCCAGCAAAAUUUUACAGAACGGGAUCUUAUGCAUGGAGAUCCCCAUGAAGUCCAUGAACAUCAUGAUCACCAUGAGCGUCAUGAUCAUCAUGAGCACCACGAUCGUCAUGACCACCUGCACCAUACAGUUUCAGAAUCCUCAUCACUGGAUAGUGCUGACAGUGAUAUCAAUGCUGUGCUACAACAGAAGCUACAAGAGUCAAAGGAGAUGAUUGAUACCCUGUCCCGUCUGCAACAAGAGCGGCUUAGUGCCACGCCACCAGCACACCUGAGCCAUAUACAGGGUGCCAGUGAACUGGAACUUGAGCUGGCGGAAAAGAUUGCAAAGACACUUUCUGAGCUGGCUUCUCAUGAAAUGUUCAGCACGCCUGUUUGUCCCCCACAUGGUCACGGCGGUCACGUCUUCGUGAAAACAGAGCAUGAAGAACAGAAGGCAUAUCCGUACAUUUUGCACUGCCUCACCCAUUCCGGUCAUCAGACACUAAAUGAAGAUUGUUUGUUGAACCGUAUUGUGUUUCUGCAAGUAAAGCCCUACCCACAGCAUUUAAUGGACUUUACAUUUGCCACAAGUGAUGUUGACUUCUCACCCCUGUCGGAGGACAUAAGCACUACAGAGUGUCAUGGAGUCUUUCCGAGUCAUGGAAAUGGACAAGAUGGUUGUUGAGGGGACGCUUUGCAUGGCCGCUCUAUUUUGUUGGUGCAGUAAGGGACGCCGCCAACAUCGACACACAAUGCUUCGGAGGUGUGGCCGGAAUGAAGUACUGACGACCCGCCACGGUAUAGUCCAUUGUCUAUGGCGUUGCGCUGCUGAAUUUGAGGACGAGGGUUCGAUCCCGGCCGAUGGGGGCGUAAUGCAAGAACGCUCGUGUAUUUAGAAUUAGGUGCACGUUUAAGAAACCCAGGAAGUCAAAAUUAAUCCGGUGUCCCCACUACAUAAUCAGAUCGCGGUUUUAGCACCUAAACUUCCUUUCUUUUUUUCUUUUUUUUUUCAGGUCCUCACGUUCCUCUCUACUAUGGCGUACUGGUGCAGUCGUGGUGAGAGCGAACGCAAGAAGGAACGUGAGCGCGGCGGCCUCUUGCAUCUUCUCGCCACACGACUCCUGCCACAGGCGCGAAGAUGGGCAAGCGCACGAUGUCGUCUUGUCGCUUUGCACGGCUUUCCGAAACGCCCGAUCUCUAAAUUAACGAGCUAGUCACGUUAGGUCACGAGGCGACCCGGAGGCCUUGGCUUGCCUUGGUUUCGUUCACGACGGGGUGCUUCAAGAUGGUGCUGUUUCUCUCUUCAUUUUACCGGUCAAGGACGUCGAACGGCAGUCACCGUUUUGAGAGCGAACUCGAGAAAGCAAAUUACCGAGGUGCUCCUGCAGAGCUGCGCGCGCGUUCUUGUGAAGGGCAAAAAAGCAGCGGCCUGUCGGUCUGUUUUUCGUCGGACGACACGGGCGUUCCGCCGCAAAUGGCGUAAUUUUUUUUUCACGUUUGACCCAGCAGCCUGUCGCGGCCUUGCUGCCUCACCUCUGCGAGCCGUUGCCCCUUCGAUAUGGUCUUGUAAAUGCACUUGGGAAGAGAAUGGCUGAAGGUUGGCCCCUCGCACGCCCCGCGAGAAAAAACAAAAACAAAAUAUUUUUAAAAAAUAGUAAAAAAAAAGCUUUUAGUUGCUCCUGCUUCGAAAACGGCCCCGGCGAUUAUGUUCAAUUGUAUUUCGUCUAACCUUCGACAAAGCGUUUUGCCGGUAUGAGGAGGAACAACAACGUAACACGACAGCGCGAACUACACCGAGCACGUAAUCUGCGCGCGCGUGCAGGCCUUGCGAGAGUGUCGAGAAAAGGAUAAAUAAGAAUAAGCGAGAGCCGGGACAAAUGGAGCACUCUCUCAGUGCGCCGGUUGCACAGAAGCAAUUUCGGAAAGCGAGGCUUUCCGCAAGCGUUAAAAGGGGACUACGCCGUUGCCCGUCUUAACUUCGCUCCCCUUUCGUGAUAUGUUUUUUGAGGCCAUUUCUGAUGCCUGAGCAUUAAGAUGGAGGGUAAAAUGGGCCGAUACCGGCGAGAUUUUUCGCACUUUUUCGACUGCAACUCGGUGGUCAUUAGUGCGCCCACAACAAAGCUGUGCCAGCAACACCGUACACCCAAUCGUGUCCCUCUCGGUCAUUGAGUUCAGUGGUGCAGAAAGGAAGGCAGGAGAGAGAAAGAAGAGAGCUGCUGGAAGGGUGACCAGGCAGUGUCCGAUAUAUAUGCUGUGUGAGGGUGCGUGAUGAUGCUCGCUCUUCACCGAUGGUGCGGCGUUCGAGACUUGCCCCCGGGUUCGAAAACCCCGGUUCCUAAAGACAGUACGCGCAGAUGUGUCACACACGAACCGCCUGCGCACGGCAAUCAACGCUCGCGAGGUCGCAGCAGGCCCCCGCUUUGUGUGUCUGAACGCGCGGCUGUCGCGCUCUGCCACCGGACUAUGGAUUUUACGACAGCGCUGAAGAGCUGAUUGGUGCGUUGCGCCACCGGUUGAGAAAUGCGAUGCUCGGAUCUGGGAGAAAAGAACACUGGUGUCUCGAGAAGCCUUUAACGCGAUAACAAAGACCUUCACCGAGCGCUAGAAAACACUUAGCGCUCUGCGGUGUGCCGAACCUUCAAGGUUAUGCACUGUAUCGAAGAACUCUGGUUAUACGUUCACCAGUUUUAAUUUAAAGAAAGCGCGAGCUACGUGAACACAGCUUUUAUAAAUGAUUUAUGUUCCUUUGUCGAUAUUGUGCGCGCAGAUAGCAGCGCACAUCAAGCGUGUAAAUAAAGAGUUGGCAAUCAACUUAUCAAUUAAUUACUUUAGGGCAUACAUAUGUCGCGAUUGCAGAAUUGAAGCCGGUUAGAGCUUCAAU